rnacentral:tRNA from 1 species
UGGCAGAGUAGAGCAACGGUAGCUCGCAAGGUUCAUACCCUUGAAAUAGGUGGUUCAAUUCCAUCCUCUGCAA